rnacentral:tRNA from 1 species
UUGGUUGUAGUAUAAGCAGUAUUUUUUCCUUCCAAGAAAGUGGUCCACAAUUUGGCAACCAAA